AAAAGCCAAAUAAAACCCAAUCAUAUAAAUCCAAAACAGAAAAAAUCAAAUUUCAAUAAAAUUUGAUCACACCAAGUCUCAUUCAUUAACUCCAAGCAUUAUUUUUUUUCACCCGAACUCAAUCCCAGAUAACCUAUUAAAAAGGAAUCAACACAUAGGAAUUCAAUGACACUUGAAAUGGAAAAGAUUUCUACCAACCUGAUUGAUCAACCGGACAGGAUUCUCUUAUUAUUUGCUGAUUUCUUUCUCCGAAUCUGAUGCUAUGAAAUUGUUUGAAUGUGAAUCGAAUUGCAUAUCAUAGAAAAAAAAAGUAGAAAUGGAUUAGGUGUGACGCGAUCGAGAUAUAAGAGAAAUUGAGGAAUUCUCGAUGCGCAUGGAACUUAUACGAGUAUGAGUGAGUCCGAGUGACUAUCGUUAUUCUAAAU
rnacentral:lncRNA from 1 species